AGUCAACUUAUUACCAUCUUAAUAUUUUAGUUUGGCUCUGAAACAUUUAGUGCAAUGUAGAUUUCUUCCUUAUAUAAUAAAAUCACUGACUAUCAGAGCUAGAAAUGACCUUAGAAAGUCACUUAUUCACACUACCACCACCACCUUCAUUUUAUUGUUGAGGCAACUUAAAGGAAAGGUGAUUGGCCCGAAGCUAUAUAGCUGAUUAGUGAUAGAUUCCUUACUGGAAGUCUCAGGUGUUUGUCAACUCUUCAUUCUAUUACACUCUUAUCAGGGCACAGUAAGUGGUGCUUUGUAGUUUCUACAGUAAGACGGUUGCUGAUACUUUCAAAUUAAACAAUAUGACAGUAAUGCUUGAGUGGUAAAGUUCUCUUUUGGAGGCUGAAAUUUGCAGAUGUGAGUACAGCUGUUUGGCAUUUACUAUGUGCUUAUGUAUUAUUAAUGAGCAUUUAAGAUUACUCUGUAAGUAUAUUUUAUCACUGUCUAUACUUACCAACAAAUUUGCAUUUUGAUGUAAUAAUGGCUUUCGUGUAAUUUCUGUUUUGGCAUUUUUGUUAUACUUUACCUGAAAAAAAAAAAGACCAAUUCUUUUGUCAUGUGUUGUACUAUAUUUGUGAAUAUAAUUUUAUGACUCGUUUAUGGAAACUCCUUUAUGGAAUUGCUUUCUGCUCUAUAAUCUGUCAUUUGUUGUAGAUUAAAGCUUAUUUUUCUGUGAAUAAGACUUAUUCAAUAAAGCACUAUUCUUU
rnacentral:lncRNA from 1 species